rnacentral:rRNA from 1 species
ACCAUGAGGGAAAGGUGAAAAGCACCCCGGGAGGGGAAUGAAAGAGAACCUGAAACCGUAUGUUUACAAGCAGUCGGAGACCGCUUAAUAAUAAGGUCGACGGCGUGCCUAUUGAAGAAUGAACCGGCGAGUUACGAAGCCUGGCAAGGUUAAGCAGGAAAUGCGGAGCCGAAGCGAAAGCGAGUCUUAAGAGGGCGCAAGUCAGGAAGCGUAGACCCGAAACCACAGUGAUCUACCCAUGUCCAGGUUGAAACACAGGUAAAAAUGUGUGGAGGACCGAACCUAUAUCCGUUGAAAAGGGUUAGGAUGAGGUGUGGGUAGGGGUGAAAUUCCAAUCGAACGUGGAGAUAGCUGGUUCUCCCCGAAAUAGCUUUAGGGCUAGCCUCAGGGAAAAGAUUGCAGGCGGUAGAGCACUGAUCAGGAGAGGGACCUACCCGGUUACCAAACCCAGUCAAACUCCGAAUGGCUGCAAUCAUACCUGGGAGUCAGACUGCGACUAAUAAGGGCCGCAGUCAAAAGGGAAACAGCCCAGACCAUCAGCUAAGGUCCCCAAUGCCGUGCUAAGUGGCGAAGGAUGUGGCAUUUCAUAAACAACCAGGAUGUUGGCUCAGAAGCAGCCACCAUUUAAAGAGUGCGUAAUAGCUCACUGGUCGAGAGACGCUGCGCCGAAAAUGUCCGGGGCUCAAGCACGGAACCGAAGCUAUGGCAUGAUAGCAAUAUCAUGGGUAGGGGAGCGUUCUUAUAAGGAAGAAGCAUGACCGGAAGGACAUGUGGACGAAUAAGAAGUGAGAAUGCCGGUAUGAGUAUCGAAAAGAAAGGUGAGAAUCCUUUCCACCGAAAGCCCGAGGGUUCCUGAGCAACGAUCGUCGACUCAGGGUAAGUCGGGACCUAAGCCGAGGCGAGAAGCGUAGGCGAUGGACAACAGGUUGAAAUUCCUGUACCGGAUCAAGUCGAUCGAGCGAAGGAGCGACGCAGGAGGGCACAUGAUCGCGCGGCUGGAAGAGCGCGUCCAAGUGCGUAUGUUGCAGCAGAGGAAAACCCCUGCAGCUAAAAGCAGAGACAUGAUGGGGAGUUAAAGGAAACUUUGACGAACUCAUGGAUCCCACACUGCCAAGAAAAACUUCUAGCGAGACAAGAUCCGCCCGUACCGUAAACCGACACAGGUAGGCGGGGAGAGAAUCCUAAGGUGCGCGGGAAAACCCUCGUUAAGGAACUCGGCAAAUUGCAUCCGUAACCUAGGGAGAAGGAUGGCCCCCGGUCAGUGAAGAGCAGAAACGCUCAGAGCUAAAAGGGGCGGCAGAAAAGAGGCCCAAGCAACUGUUUACCAAAAACACAGGUGCCUGCGAAAGCGAAAGCUGAAGUAUAGGUGCUGACGCCUGCCCGGUGCCGGAAGGUUAAGGAGAGAAGUUAGCGAAAGCGAAGCAUCGAACUGAAGCCCCGGUGAACGGCGGCCGUAACUAUAACGGUCCUAAGGUAGCGAAAUUCCUUGUCGGGUAAGUUCCGACCCGCAUGAAAGGCGUAAUGAUUUGGGCACUGUCUCAACGAGGGGCCCGGUGAAAUUGAAAUACCUGUGAAGAUGCAGGUUACCCGCGACUGGACAGAAAGACCCCAUGGAGCUUCACUGCAGCUUGAGAUUGAAUCCCGGUGACAGAUGCACAGGAUAGGUGGGAGGCGCCGAAGCAUUGCCCUAGGGCGGUGCGGAGCCGAUGUUGGGAUACCACCCUUCUGUUGCUGAGAUUCUAACGCGAGGAGUAACGACCCUGCGGACCCUCUCAGGCAGGCGGUUUGACUGGGGCGGUCGCCUCCGAAAGAGUAACGGAGGCGCCCAAAGGUUCCCUCAGGCCGGACAGAAACCGGCCGAAGAGUGCAAAGGCAGAAGGGAGCUUGACUGCGAGACCAACAAGUCGAGCAGAGACGAAAGUCGGGCUUAGUGAUCCGGUGGUACUGGGUGGAAAGGCCAUCGCUCAACGGAUAAAAGCUACCCUGGGGAUAACAGG